UCAAUUAUCGUUGAAUCAAUGAAUUUUAUUUGACUUAUUCGUGUCAGUUUCGAAGCAAUCCAUGGCUGAAUAACAGCUACCGUCCAGAUUUACUCUCUCUUGUCACGGAUAUUCAGUCUUUAACUAUUCCACCAUCGUCUAUACGGCAAUGUUGUUAACAUGUAUUGUAUAUUUGUGCAAUAUAUUUUCAGAUUGGAAUACAUCCUAGAGUUACACACGUUAUCUUAUUUGUGGAUGAAAAAUAAAAUUGCGCAGCCCUUUCGCUCAGAUGUUAGUGCAUCUAGAUAUGCAAUGCUACCGUUUCUUUCACCAUCAUUCUCUAUAUCUUUCAUAUAGUUUCAUAGUUUGAUAGUGACAAGAAGUGGACGAUCAAGAUACACUGCAAUUGAAGUAUAAAAAAAUUGACAUUAAAUUAGCAAAUGCAUCAAUGAAUUGAUAAUCUUGAACGCGGAAAUUCUUUGAAAUCUGUAUAACCUGUAUAUCACGUCAUAAGAAUAUAAAUGUUUAUACAUAUAAUGGAAAGUUCAGAUAUUAGAAUCAUACAUAUAAUAUAAAAAUUAAUAUAAAAAUAUAAAAAUUUUAAGAAGAAAAUAAAAAUUUCUUAUUGUUGUAAUAUGUUAUAUGUUACAUUCUUUACAUCUAAAAGCAGGGGGCUGGCCUAUCUAAUAAAUAAUAAACGAAGCUGAAUGGAAAUGAAAAAAUAUACAAAUGGCAAAAUAUUAUUAUUAUACUCGUUUGAUAGAAUUAUAUAUAGUUUAUAUAAAUAUUUUUAUAUACAUUGAUAUAAAGAAGAAUAUUGGAUCGAAAAAAUAUAUCUCAUACGAUAAAUAUAUGUAAACUUAUAAACAAGACAAAAAUCGAUACGGACGAUAUUGAAAACGGCGAAAAAGAAAAUCAAAAACGAAGUAGCGAGAAAAGCAAAAAUCAUGACAAAGAUAAUAAUGAGAAAAAUGAUGAUAAAGAUGAAUAUAAGUUACGAGAAAAAGAAAUUUAAUAGAUAAAAGAAUGAAUAAUUGUAUAAUUUAUGGGGAAAAAAUUAAUAAUAAGAUAAAAUUUAUGAAGGAAUUUCUUUUAAAUGAGAAAAAAUUGAAAAAAACCAAUGAAAAGAACUAUAAUACAAAAAGAAAAUUUUGCAACGAGAAACAAUAAUCUCGAAAAUAAAAAAAAAAAUAUACGAUAUAAAAAUAAUAUACGAGAAUAAUUUAAAAUUUCCAGGAUUUUUUAAUAGAUUUUUAAUCACGAUUUUAACGAUGUAAUUUUUUCAGAAAAAUAAAAUAUGAUAAAAUUUAGAAAUUAUUUUCAUUUAAAUAAUUUUUUUAAAAUCUUGGAUAAUUUAAAUAUUUUUUAUAUUUAUGUUAUUUAAAUAAAAUUCAAGACGCAAUGUAAAAUUAAAAUAUCAUUAAUGUAAAUUGUUA